rnacentral:rRNA from 1 species
CAAUAGCCACGGGAAUACGUAGGUGGCAAGCGUUGUCCGGAAUUAUUGGGCGUAAAGGGCUCGCAGGCGGUUUCUUAAGUCUGAUGUGAAAGCCCCCGGCUCAACCGGGGAGGGUCAUUGGAAACUGGGAAACUUGAGUGCAGAAGAGGAGAGUGGAAUUCCACGUGUAGCGGUGAAAUGCGUAGAGAUGUGGAGGAACACCAGUGGCGAAGGCGACUCUCUGGUCUGUAACUGACGCUGAGGAGCGAAAGCGUGGGGAGCGAACAGGAUUAGAUACCCCGGUAGUCCCUGUCUCUUAUAC